UCUUACGAAAAGCCCCUUUAAUUUUGAAUAUAAUUCUACUUACUUUUUUCCAAUCUGCUCCUCUCCCCCUCGCCCACGAACUCCUCGCCGCCGCCGCCACCCGCGCCGGCCGCUUCCGGCGACCUCUGAUGCCGCGCAGCACGCCCCCGAGCUCCCCAUGGUCCGCGCCUCCCUCCGCUUCGGCCAGAUUCUCCGCUCCCGUCCUCUACCGCCUGCUCGCAACCCCACCCCCGUGGCUAGGGUUUCAGGCAGGGCUUCGCCGGCGCGUCUCCGGCGGCCCCAGGGGAUAGGUCGCUUCUGCGGUGGGGCAUGUGAGCUGGGAGCUAGUGAGGCAUACGCCCUUGGCGACGAGGAGUUCUUGCUCUAGGGAGAGAGCAGAGGGCAUGCUGGACACUGUUGUUGGUGAGACAGUUAUUUGGCUCAUCGUCGUGUCGCAAGUUUCUGACGUCGCUGUACACCGUGGACUUUGCCGGAAAUCCGUCUGCACGUACUCCACCGUCUGCCGGAACUUCGUCUGACCUGAGAUUUUUUUUCAUAGCAACGCACGAGUAAUUUACUAGAGCGAGCGGCGUCGUGGUGAUCUCGCUGGCAAGCGACGGGAGGAGGACGGCGAGCUGAGCCGAAGGAGGGCGAGGCGUCCACAAGCAGGAGGCUCCCCGGUGAAUCGGGGAGACAGCGCGAGGCAUCUCCGACGGCGUGGGCCGGGCCGCCGGGCGCCGUGCUUCCUCAGAUUCGCGUUUCAGCCGCGCAUCCAGUUUGUCGCUUCCCUCGAUGUCAACGGCUCUAUGAUCAGCUGUGUUCUCUUCCUCCAUGUACUAAGCCACGACGAGGUGGUGGAGAGGCGAACCUCAAAUGCGCAACAUCAGAUCUUGCUCGCUGAGCUGCUAUUCCUGGACCAUUGAAUAGUACUCAGAGCAUACACCUAUUCGUGCCUCAUUAUGCUGUACUUGGAUGAAGUUUCCCAGAAUAGUUGGUAGUUUACAUUGACAUGGCAGGCAGGGAUGUGGAAUGACAAAAGAUGAUAUUUUGGAAGAGCUGGUUCUGGAGCUGAUGUACACCUACUUUGAGUACUUCCAAUAUUGUUUUCUACUUCCAAAGUUGUUUGGGUGGUAAAUUAUUUUUCAAGUUUGCAACCAUAUAUUUAUUAAUUUUCUACCCGUUGCACAGCACAUGCCUUUUGGCUUGGCCUUCGCCCUCCACCCACGCCAGCUGCGGUGGACGCCUAGCUCCUACAGCUCUGCAGUGAGGCAUGCAGAGAGUGACGACAACUUCUGAAGCCAUGGCUAGCCUGUGAUUACCAGAGUGGCGAUGAGUGUGAUUUGGAUACCUGUUUUGUUUGCUCCUUCUGUUUUGAUUUGAGUUGAUGGGGAUGAGAUGUGACCCUGCUGCUGGGCGUCGCAAAUGCCACGGCUCCAUGUAUGCCCCAGCUUUGGUGAUGCGCGGGCGAGGCUACUCUAUCUGGUGUAGUCGCCCUCCUUCCGAGAAAUCAAGUUCUUUUGUUCAGAUUUUAGAUCUCUUGAGUUUCAGCUUAGUUCAAGGAUAGAAAAGCAUGCUCCUUAUGGAUUCAAUGAGGAAAACCAUCAGCCACUUUUUCAGAAUUGGAUGGUGUGGUGCACCUUCAUCUUGCUAUCCAACUUCUUAGCUUAUUUGCUUUAACUUUAGUACAGUUAUAUAGCAGGAUAAGGAUCCAAUCCUGUGAUGCCACUCCAUUUCCAUCGUCAAAAGUUGCGCAUGAGUUGAUUCAGACUUUCAGAGUUCAGAGAACACCUAGCAGAGUUAAUCAGCCUGAAGGUAUAUCAGAUCCUAAGGAAAGAGGACCCGGUUCAGAUUUGUCACUACUAUGUGCUGUUGGAUAGCCAUGGUAUGUGUUAGUUUUAAUUUACCACAGAAGUUCGAUUCUUGGGAGAUAGGACAGGUGCAUACAUUACUUUUCUUAUGAAUCUGUUCUCUUUUUGUGCACUAUCUAUCUAUGAAAAUUUUCAAAGAAAUUGACGGCGGCGGUGUGGCGAAUGACGAAGCAUCUAAAAUGGAUGGAAGAGAGGUGGUAAGGCGCGGGUGGGAGACAUACAUAUUUGAGGAAAUACGAUUCAUAAGGUUUCAUAUUAACAAAAAUUGAUAGUCUUUGUAAAGUAAUCCGAACAUUUUGUUGAUUCCGGGACAACUUUAUUCUCCAAUAUGAAUCUGUAAGAAAAGAUAUGGCAUACAUUUGUGUAAAUUGAUAAUGUAAGCACAUCUCGAAACUCUAUUAUUUUUUCAAGAUUGAUUUACUUGGUGGUGCUAACUUCCAUUAUCUCAAAACAGGGCAUGUGUGCUAUUCCUGAAAAAAGAAGCUUCCCUGUUGGCUGGCAUCCCCUAUGAUACACAGGAGUAUGUAGGAAAAGAAAUGGCAUCUCAUAAUUCUUUGAAUGUAGACCAGUAGGUUCAAUUACAAAUUGUUGGCUGUAAAUGACUUUCAGUUUCUAGCUUUCAUAAAAUUUAGACAUGUACUACUCUUUAACAGUAUGAUGUGGUUGAUGGUGGUCCUAUGUGCUGGUUCAAAUUAUCAUGUUGGAUAAUAUUGCUUUUACUAGCA